GACGAACCGUGCAAACGUUAUUCGGAAUCACUGGGCAUAAAGGGCGCGUAGGCGGCUUUCUAAGUCAGGGGUGAAAUCCGGCAGCUCAACUGUCGCAGUGCCUUUGAUACUGGACGUCUGGAGUUCGGGAGAGGUGAGUGGAAUUCCGAGUGUAGAGGUGAAAUUCGUAGAUAUUCGGAGGAACACCAGAAGCGAAGGCGGCUCACUGGCCCGAUACUGACGCUGAGGCGCGAAAGCGUGGGGAGCAAACAGG
rnacentral:rRNA from 1 species